rnacentral:tRNA from 1 species
UGUGAAUAAGUGUAAUGGAAGCACAUAAGGCUCAUGAUCUUAAAGAGAUUGUUCGAUUCAAUCAUUCACAA